rnacentral:rRNA from 1 species
GAGGAAUUUUGCACAAUGGAGGAAACUCUGAUGCAGCGACGCCGUGUGCGGGAUGAAAGGGCUUUGCCUUGUAAACCGCUGUCGGAUGGGAAAAAAAGUUCCCUCGGGGGACUGGGAUUGUACCAUCAAAGGAAGGACCGGCUAACUACGUGCCAGCAGCCGCGGUAAUACGUAGGGUCCAAGCGUUGUCCGGAAUUACUGAGUAUAAAGGGUGCGCAGGCGGGCUUGUGCGUCAGAGGUUAAAGACCCGAGCUUAACUCGGGAAAUGCCUUUGAUACGGCAAGUCUUGAGUAUAAGAGAGGAUAGUAGAAUUCCUGGUGUAGCGGUGAAAUGCGUAGAUAUCAGGAGGAAUACCAGUGGCGAAGGCGGCUAUCUGGCUCAUAACUGACGCUUAGGCACGAAAGCGUGGGGAUCAAACAGGAUUAGAUACCCUGGUAGUCCACGCCCUAAACGAUGUAUGCUUGGUGUUAGGCUCCUAGAGCUUAGUGCCGGAGAAAAUUCGUUAAGCAUACCACCUGGGGAGUACGAUCGCAAGGUUG